rnacentral:rRNA from 1 species
AACUGGUUGAUCCUGCCAGUAGUCAUAUGCUUGUCUCAAAGACUAAGCCAUGCAUGUCUAAGUAUGAAUGGUGCAUUUUUGUACUGUGAAACUGCGAAUGGCUCAUUAAAUCAGUUUGGGUCUCUUUGAUAGUGAAGCAACUCAUUUUCAUGAUGUUGUGCUAUAUGGAUAGCCGUGGCAAUUCUAGAGCUAAUACAUGCGACAAGGCCUGAUCGCGAGAGAGGGCUGCAUUUAUUAGGUUCCAAGCCAACAAAAUUUCUUUUUUUGGUGAAUCAGAAUAACUUUGCUGACCUUUGGGGUUUUUUUUGCUCCGAAGGUGAAUCAUUCGAAUUUCUGCCCUAUCAACUUUCGAUGGUAAGGUAUUGGCUUACCAUGGUGACCACGGGUGACGGGGAACAUUUGGUUCGAUUCCGGAGAGGGAGCCUGAGAGACGGCUACCACUUCCAAGGAAGGCAGCAGGCGCGCAAAUUACCCAAUCCUGACACAGGGAGGUAGUGACAAUAAAUACCAAUGCAUUGCUUUUAUUUUAGUGAUGCAAUUGGAAUGAGAACAAUGUAAAGACCUUAUCGAGAAUCGAUUGGAGGGCAAGUCUGGUGCCAGCAGCCGCGGUAAUUCCAGCUCCAAUAGCGUAUAUUAAAGUUGUUGCAGUUAAAAAGCUCGUAGUUGGAUUUCGGGGCGCCAUUUUUUCUUUUGCGUGCGCGGGAUGGUGUGGGAGGGUUCUUCGGUUGGCGGGGUUUCAACGCUCUGUUGGCCGGGGAGGCUCUCUCUGCCUUUUUUCUGCGGCACGCGGGCGCCUCUUUUAUCCCCGAUGUGUGGAUUCGGUUCCACGUGUUGGGGGCUUUACUUUGAAAAAAUUAGAGUGUUCAAAGCAGGCAUAUUUUUUUGCUUGAAUAGAUUAGCAUGGAACAACGGAAGAGGACUUUUGGGCCUGUAUUUUGUUGGCCGGGGCGGUUGCAGAAGCCCGAGCUUGUCUUGGUGUUCUCUGCGGCGCUCCGCAGGUCUGAAGUAAUGAUUAAUAGGGACGGUUGGGGGCACUGGUAUUUCACAGUCAGAGGUGAAAUUCUUGGAUUUGUGAAAGACCGCCGACUGCGAAAGCAUUUGCCAAGGACGUUUUCAUUGAUCAAGAACGAAAGUUAGGGGAUCGAAGACGAUUAGACACCGUCGUAGUCCUAUACCAUAAACGAUGCCGACUAGCGCUCGGUGGGCAGCACGAUUCAUUUUGAGAGUGGCGCCAUCGGGAGCUUGCGGGAAACCAAAGUGUUUGGGCUCCGGGGGAAGUAUGGUCGCAAGGCUGAAACUUAAAGGAAUUGACGGAAGGGCACCACCAGGAGUGGAGCCUGCGGCUCAAUUUGACUCAACACGGGGAACCUCACCAGGUCCAGACAUGGGAAGGAUUGACAGAUUGACAGCUCUUUCUUGAUUCCAAGGGUGGUGGUGCAAGGCCGUUCCUAGUUCGUGGGGUGACUUGUCUGGUCGAUUCCGAUAACGAGCGAGACCUUAACCUGCUAAAUGGUGCGGGGAUUUAUUUUUUUCUUGUAAAUCCCUUUGGGGUGUGUCUUCGGAUGCCCCCCUGCACCUCUUAGAGGGACACUCGGCGUUGCUAUUUCAAAGCGCUAGCCGAAGGAAGUGUGAGGCAAUAACAGGUCUGUGAUGCCCUUAGAUGUUCUGGGCUGCACGCGCGCUACACUGACGGGGGCAACGAGUUUCUUUUUCUGGGGGCGUUUUGCGGGUUUUCCUUUUUCUUGGAUGCCCUGCUGCGCCCUCUAUGCCUGCUCCGGAAGGAGUGGGGACUCUUUUGAACACCUGUCGUGCUGGGGAUAGAUGCUUGCAAUUAUUCAUCUUGAACGAGGAAUUCCUAGUAAGCGCAAUUCAUCAGAUUGCGCUGAUUACGUCCCUGCCCUUUGUACACACCGCCCGUCGCUACUACCGAUUGAAUGGUUUAGUGAGGCCUCGGGAUUGGCGCGCGGGCGCUGGCAACAGCCGCCUUUUGCAUGCGCCGAGAACCUGGUCAAACUUGACUAUUUAGAGGAAGUAAAAGUCGUAACAAGG